rnacentral:rRNA from 1 species
UGGGGAAUAUUGGACAAUGGAGGCAACUCUGAUCCAGCAAUUCUGUGUGUGUGAAGAAGGUUUUAGGACUGUAAAACACUUUUAGUAGGGAAGAAAAAAAUGACGGUACCUACAGAAGAAGCGACGGCUAAAUACGUGCCAGCAGCCGCGGUAAUACGUAUGUCGCGAGCGUUAUCCGGAAUUAUUGGGCUUAAAGGGCAUCUAGGCGGUUAAACAAGUUGAAGGUGAAAACCUGUGGCUCAACCAUAGGCUUGCCUACAAAACUGUAUAACUAGAGUACUGGAAAGGUGGGUGGAACUACACGAGUAGAGGUGAAAUUCGUAGAUAUGUGUAGGAAUGCCGAUGAUGAAGAUAACUCACUGGACAGCAACUGACGCUGAAGUGCGAAAGAUAGGGGAGCAAACAGG